UACGUAGGGCGCAAGCGUUAAUCGGAAUUACUGGGCGUAAAGCGUGCGCAGGCGGUUUUGUAAGUCUGUCGUGAAAUCCCCGGGCUCAACCUGGGAAUGGCGAUGGAGACUGCAAGGCUAGAGUUUGGCAGAGGGGGGUAGAAUUCCACGUGUAGCAGUGAAAUGCGUAGAGAUGUGGAGGAACACCGAUGGCGAAGGCAGCCCCCUGGGUCAAGACUGACGCUCAUGCACGAAAGCGUGGGGAGCAAACAGG
rnacentral:rRNA from 1 species